rnacentral:rRNA from 1 species
UACAGAGGGUGCAACCGUUGUUCGGAAUUACUGGGCGUAAAGCGUGUGUAGGCGGCCAUUCAAGUCGGAUGUGAAAGCCCCGGGCUCAACCCGGGAAGUGCACCCGAAACUGGAUGGCUUGAGUAUCGGAGAGGUUGGUGGAAUUCUCGGUGUAGAGGUGAAAUUCGUAGAUAUCGAGAGGAACACCGGUGGCGAAGGCGGCCAACUGGACGAAUACUGACGCUGAGACACGAAAGCGUGGGGAGCAAACAGG